rnacentral:rRNA from 1 species
CCUACGGGAGGCAGCAGUGGGGAAUCUUCCGCAAUGGGCGAAAGCCUGACGGAGCAACGCCGCGUGAUCGAAUGAAGGCCUUCGGGUUGUAAAGAUCUGUUGACAGGGACGAAUAAGCCAUGCGAAUAGUUUGGUGUAUGACGGUACCUGUUUAGAAAGCUCCGGCGAACUAGGGGCCAGCAGCGGCGGUAAUACGUAGGGAGCAAGCGUUGUCCGGAAUUACUGGGCGUAAAGGGCGCGUAGGGGGGUGCUUAAGUCAGGUGGGAAAACUCUGGGCUCAACCUGGGGACUGCACUUGAAACUGGGUAUCUUGAGGGCAGGAGAGGAAAGUGGAAUUCCUAGUGUAGCGGUGAAAUGCGUAGAUAUUAGGAGGAACACCAGUGGCGAAGGCGACUUUCUGGACUGUACCUGACGCUGAGGCGCGAAAGCGUGGGUAGCGAACGGGAUUAGAUACCCCUGUAGUC